UACGAAGGGGGCUAGCGUUGCUCGGAAUCACUGGGCGUAAAGGGUGCGUAGGCGGGUUUUUAAGCAGAGGUGAAAUCCUGGAGCUCAACUCCAGAACUGCCUUUGAUACUGAAAGUCUUGAGUAUGGGAGAGGUGAGUGGAACUGCGAGUGUAGAGGUGAAAUUCGUAGAUAUUCGCAAGAACACCAGUGGCGAAGGCGGCUCACUGGCCCAUUACUGACGCUGAGGCACGAAAGCGUGGGGAGCAAACAGG
rnacentral:rRNA from 1 species